ensembl:lncRNA
GUUUCUGAAAAUACAAUGCAAUGGUGGCUCACUUGCCUGUGACAUUUGGUGCCCCUGCUUGCUGCAGCUCUUUCUGCAGGGGGCUCUCAUCAUGGCCCAAAGCCUGCUCUAGCUCAUGUUGCGGUUUUUCUGAUCUGGAAGGAGGAGGAGGCAGUCAGGGAACAGUCCCAGUGGCAUCCUGUUAUGUCAGCUGUCAAGCUGUGACCUCACAAAAUCUCAAUUGUUCUGGACACUGAUCAUUUGGCAGAAGUCAUUGCUUGUAUCCCUAAAGAACAAGAGUCACAGAGUAGUUUGUCCUUGAGUUUUUGUCUGACUUUAACCAGUGUCACAAGUUGAUCAGAGUACUGUAUGUAUGUGCUCUAUGAGAAAGAACAGAACAUUCUCCAACACCCCAGGGACAUCAUUGUGAUGAAAGGAAUAGCAUAUUAACCCACAAAUAACAGCAUAGUUGAGAAACACAGAAUGUUCAUGGUGAAUUAAACACAGACCACCUCAUUUUAUAGGUAGACAUAAUACAACAUUGCAGCUUAGACAACUGGACAAGGUCAUGGGGCAUGCUCAUGCCUCCUGCCCAGAAGGAGCCUUACACCCAGGCAAUAUGCAGCAUGGAGCCUCUCAUGGUGGAGCAAACAUUUCCUCAGAUGUCUGCCUGAGAACACAGGCUCUUCAGGGGGUCUUUUUAGUAAAGAAAACCAGCCUUGUUUCCCUUAGGAUGAAUGCUGGGAAUCUACAUCCCAGUUCUGUAGAGGAGUCUUGUUACACAAUAUCGUGGGAAGGUUAUGAACAAUCCUACAGCAGAGACAUCUUCCUAGGUUCAUCCUGGAAGUGACAGGAAGUGACUAUAUCCAUAGAACACUUUACAUGAGAAAUGGUCAAGCAAAGAAGACAGCCAGUGUUACAUCAAAGAGUGACUAAGGGUGGGACUCUCAACUCUACAGCUUCAGGCAUGGUAAGACACAUCUUUGUUGCCCAUGACUUGGGAGGCAGAAGCAGGCAGAGCUCUGUGAGUUCAAAGAAAGCCUGCUCAGAACAUACCAGAGAACACAAAAGGCAUCAAGGGGACACAAUUCUACAGACUCACAGAAUAUCAAGUGUAUUAUUUCUUGCAAGGAAGUUCUUGUUGACUGGACCAACACAAUAUUCUGAAGUGUUCUUUCCCUGGUGUUGCCAGGAGCCUUGCCUAUAGGCAGAGCCCACAAAAGGCAGAGAUCCAAGGUAAAAGAGAUCCACUUGAAUCCAAUUCUCAACUUCCAAUCCCACUCAGACCUCAUCUGGGAGACAGUCAACUAAUGCUGCAGCUUUCCCGCUAAGUUCUUUUUCUGGAUGACCAGCUCCCUCUCCUUCCACUAGGACUGCAGAUUUUCCUCCAGUCUCUGAUGUUCCUGUUCAUUAGGAGAUUGUGUUCUUAGGAAAGGGUGAAGCCCAGGCUUGAAUACACUCUCAUGCAAGGGCAAGCACACACAGAGGAUCUCAAGCAAGCUUCUGUGAGAGAAGAAUCCUGUUUCAGGGUAAAGACUGACAAACCCAGUGGUCUCCUCUAGAGGCCAUCCACAUGCAUGGGGUAUUACACCCCUCACAUCGACUGCCCUCUCCAGGUGCUCAUACACACGGACAUGCUCACAAAACACAGACAUGGAUAAAUAAAGAGAAAAAGACAGAGCGAAGAAGAGAGGGAGAAAGAAUGAGAGAGAGAAUGAGAGUGUCAGAGAGGGAGAGGGAGACAGAGAGAAAGACAGAGGUGGGAGGAGAGAGAGAAUGCUGAAAAGAAGGCAAGGGGUUUACAUACCAGAUAAGUACAUAAGUUUAGACUACCCACAGCAGCUCUUUCAGAAAAAUCUAAUGACUCUGGUCUCCAUCCCUUUGGACUGAAAUUGCAUAUGGGAACAUGUUCUGCUUGGCCAAACUAUACUGAGCUGGUUGGAGAACCUUUUGUCUUGUCUCAGAUCUCCCUCUGCAACCCUCAGUCUGUCUCCAGCCCUUUCCACAUCCCUGGCAACCUAUCCUCUCCAUAGUAUAAUCUUGCCAAGGAAACACAGUAAACACUGCUGACAAAGUCCCACCGAAGUUUGUCAAUGUGAACCAAGGUUUGGGCAUGGGUAAGAGGCCACCUUGGGAUGCAGACAAUAUAAGGAAGAAAGGCCACAUGCCAUCCAACAAGGUGACAAAGAGAACCACUCCUUUGACUUUUGCAGUGGGCUCUCUCCUUGCAAGCUGCUUCCCCUGCCCCCACUGGGAUCUCACAGAACCCUGCAAAGCGAAUGAGCCACAGGUAUUGGAACUAACUCCUCAAGUCUGUACACAGCACCACUCCCAUCAUAAUGACAUGUCGGAGUGUGAAGUGUCAUUGACCCAUCUCCCUGAUUGAGCUGCGGCUUCGAGAAGAGCAGCAGGGUUUGUUUGCCAUUUGAUUCUCACAAGAGACUCAGUUCCAAGAACUACUAAUGCAUGGACACAGAAAUGAACAGUUGGAAGUCAUGAGAGCAGAGGAGGAUGAGUUUGAGUGUGUGUGUGUGUGUGUGUGUGUGUGUGUGUGUGUGUGUGUGUGUGUAAAGUUCUAAGUGAAAGCACAAUUGUGUUUAUGGGCAGACAGACCUAAGCUACAUGAAGAUAUUAUGCUGAACCUAACCCUGACCCAGCUACUUAUUCCUACCUGCUGCUCAUGGGUCUGGAGGUCUCUGAUGACUUGUUCCUGGUCCUCACAGAUCGCUCUCAAUUCUCCCAAGUAGGGCUGCAGCAGGACCCAUUCCCCUAGCACACUCUUGGUCUCCUGCCUCAGCUUCUCCACUACAUACUGCACCUGAGUCUUCUCCAUCAGGAUUCGGCACUGCAGAUUGCUGGAAACACUCUCUGUAUAGUAAGCCCUUUGCCCUCUUCCUACCAUCUCUGCCUCCAUAACCCAUCAAUCCCACUGGUCCUCAAGUUCCCAAAGGAGAGACAAGAGGCCAAUGCAGUCAUGACAGCUGUAUUCAGAAGGCCAAAAGUAGAGAACAGGAAAUUCCAGAAAGAAUCAAACUAUUUCUAAAUAUGCCAACAACAAAAGAAAUGCAAGUAUCUCUACUAAUGAGAGUGGGGCCUUCAAUGCCCUUAACUGACCAUGGUAAUGGGGCAACAUCUGGAAGCAGGAAACAAAUCCACUCAUAGGGUUGACAGGAGACCCAAGGGGUGUAGAGGUCCCAUAGGGGCAAUAGGCCCCUGCCUGAGACCCUGCCUGAUACCAAUUUCAUGUUGCAAAAUGUUCCUCUACCUAGAGAAGUGGUCUUCAAACUGUGGCUCAUGACUCCUUUGGUGAUGGAAUUACUCUCUCAAUGGGUGGUGUCUCAGAUAUCCUGCAUAACAGAUACUUACAUCAUGAUUCAUAACAGUAGCAAAACUACAAUUAUGAAGUAGCAGGAAAAAAAUAAUUUCAUGAUUGGACCUCACCAAAACAUGACAAAAUGUAUUAGCAUGGUCACAGCAUUAGAAAGGUUGAAAACCACUGAACUAGAUUCCAUUUAAUAUUGAGAGUCUGGAGCUAGAAAGAGCUAACAGCACAAGACCAAGAACUUCUUGCUAAGAAUGCUAGCUAAGAGGCAUAAAGGCUAAAACCAGAGCUGUGGCUUCUGCAGUCCAGAGAAAAAGAAAGGCAGAGAUGGACAUUUCACAAUGCUGUGGUCCCCAGCAAGACAGGCACUUACCAAUAGAAGAGUGACUCCUUGUCAAGCUCACUGAAUCUCUUCAAGGCCUCUGUGUUCUCAUUCUCCAAUCUAUGCAGGUCUGCCAUGACCUGCUUAUACUCCAUCUGAAGAUUUUCAGAAAAAGGUUUUGGCCAAUGGUAGGGCAUGGCCAAAAAACUCCAUGAACAAGGUUUUCAUGGGUCAUGUGGAUUCAGGCUGUAUUCAAGGCUACUGGAGCCCAUGGAAUGUCACAUCCUGUCUCCUAUGUACUUGGAACUUCUGGUGCUUAUUAAACUUGCUAUCCUGACCCUAGGCCAGCAGAGGCAGGAUGUUCAGGUGAAGGAAGGUGGGGUUGUGUGUAUUAUUUCAGCAGGACGGCUGAAAUAGCUGACUAAGAGGGUUCCUGGUGUCUACUUCAUGGUCUGUGCUUACCAAAAACUGGGAUAAUGCUUCUCCUCUCUAUAAAAUGAAAACUCUCAGCCCUGGUGUCUCACAAAAUAGAGGCCAAAAUCACACCAUGAGGAUUUCUGUAGCCAGGAUUUAUAAUGUUUUUGAGAAAGGAACUCAUGAUAGAUUUAUAAACUACUCAAGGGGAUAUCUACAUGGCACUAAGGUGAGCACAUUGGCAGAACUGUAAUGCUCAAGGUGGGGAUCCCAAUGCUCAUCACAGGUAUCACCUAAGACCUGUGAGACAGGAAACAGCUCAUGCCUAACCACUGACACCUUAUUGCAGGGUCUAGGGAAGUAAACUUGCAGAAAUACACAAACACACAACACACGUGUGUGUUUUGGUAUGUGUGCGUGUUUGUGUGUGAGACAGAGAUGGAGGGAGAAAGAGAGUGAGAGAGAAUGCUACCAAGAGAUGUUAAAUAAAUAGUUGCAGAUGUGUCAUCUCAGAGAGGAUCAAAAGGUACAGGGAUCAGUCCCAGGCCUUGUAGCCAUACACUGAGAUGUGUGACAGGGCUCUCCAUCUGUUCCAUGGAGUGCUCAUCACACAAUGUCUUGCAAGGCCAAUGAAGAAUCACCACAAACUCACAGCAGCUGGCUUCUCACAGAAGUUGCCACUUGACAGGACCUGUCCAAAUGCAUGCUGGGAACUCACACCUCUGUCUUCAAUCCCUGAGUUAUGUGACUCAGGCCAUAGGCUCUGGUUUUCUUUUGGAAGAAACAGAAUAAUAGUCUGUCUCCAUCUCACUCCUGCCCAGGUUUCAGGUUCUGCUUCUGGGAAGCAUAUAGAAACACGCUGUCGGGCAAAGGGACAUCAUGAAGGUGUAGAAUCCCAGAAGCCCAGAUCUUAGAUGAAAUAAACUAAGGGUGAAAUUGUCGAACCAAGUUGGUCACCAAGGUGUUGGAAACAAUGAAUACCUGUUGUCAGGGGAUCCUUCCGUGAUGGAGCUGAGGCAAUCCCGCAGCUCCUUUGUUUCUCUGGUCACUUCUCUAGCUGGCUGUCAGAAUCUACAUUUUCUGAUUCACCUCCUUCUUAGUGAGGAGUGUUGGGGGAGUUGAUGGCUUUCCAGCAGCCC